rnacentral:rRNA from 1 species
GUACACGCUGUGACUAGCAUAUCAAUAAGCGGAGGAAAAGAAACUAACAAGGAUUCCCCUAGUAACGGCGAGUGAAGCGGGAAGAGCUCAAAUUUGAAAUCUUAAAGGGUUUCCCUUUACGAAUUGUAGUUUAAAGAAGUGUUUUCUGUUGAGGUUUUGGUAAAAGUUCUUUGGAAUAGGACAUCAUAGAGGGUGAGAAUCCCGUAUUUGACCUUUACUUUCAACUUUGUGAUACACUUUCAAAGAGUCGGAUUGUUUGGGAAUGCAGUCCAAAAUGGGUGGUAAAUCUCAUCUAAAGCUAAAUAUUGGCGAGAGACCGAUAGCGAACAAGUACCGUGAGGGAAAGAUGAAAAGAACUUUGAAAAGAGAGUUAAACAGUACGUGAAAUUGUCAAAAGGGAAGCGUUUGACACCAGUGUUGUUUUUCUGAAAAUCAAUUAAAGAACUGUUUAUGCUAAGCUGUUUAGACUUUAUCAGCUAUCUGUUUAGUUUUGAGCUUUUCUUUAAUGCACUUUUCAGUUAACAAGUCAACAUCAAUUUCUUUUGCUGUAAAAAAGCUUGAGGAAGGUGGCUUGAGAUUCGUCUUAAGUGUUUAUAGCCUCUUGCCUAUGCAGUCGGAGAGAUUGAGGUCUGCAGCGUAGAUCCUUCGGGGCUAAAUGCAUUUGUGCUAAGUUAUAACAUUUUAUAGACAACUUGUUGACUAUGAUUUGUCUUGUAGCUUACUCGCUUAUGUUAUUUUACCUACGCUUAGGAUGUUGACGAGACUGUCGAUCC